GUUAAGUCCACUCAUGCAGUUCACAGUUACUAAUUAGGUCAGGAACUAAUUAACCAGUUUCCCAGUAAUUUCUGUAAUCAUCUUAUAUUUCAUGACUUAUAUGAAUAAUUGUUUCAACUAUUAGUGUACUGAAUUGAUUAAAGAUCUUCUGCAAUAUUGAAAGCUAGAAAAUACUUACAUCUUAAAAAUGUAACUAGAUACCUAGAUUUCCAUUUUGCAAAUCCAUGGUAACAAAAUGACCAAAAUGAGGAAUGAGGCAUUUUAAGGCACUACUAAACAUUUAUGCCUAUCUUUAGAUUUGCUCUUAUGAUGAUAACAUUCCUGAGCAAGAUCCUUAUGAGCAAGAUGCAGGGCAGGUAAAGUUUGACGAGAUUUAAAAAAAAAAAAAAACCCAGAGGUUAUGGAGCUAACAGCAGUUCUAGUUGCUAUAUUCAACCUAGUCAUUAUCUCAUGUUAUUUUCUCUCUUUAGAUCAUGUCUUGACAGAGGCAGCUUUCACAAAGGCUUGUGCCAAUCACCAAAGCAAAAACAAAACAAAAACAAAUUACAAGUUAGCCAAUAGCUGAUUACCUGGUUAAGCAAAAGGAUUCUUGGGGAAAAAAAAAGAAGAAUACACUCAAAAAGAAUGGAGCUGUCUUAAACCUGUUUCUGUAAAAGUGAGUAAUUUCAUAUGCUUAUUUGCAGCUGUAUCUCAAGCAUAAAGAAGGGGCAUUUGAAAACCAGUGGGCUCUAUUUCAAGGCUUUUAGUAAAAUGAACAUAACUGAUGCCUACGCCAGGUGUGCCUGUACUGAUUAAUCAUAGCUUUUGAAGAGUAAACAGAGCCAAGAAUCGAUGAUAGAGACACCUAAACUGAGGGACUACUGUGAUUUUUUUCCUUCUGGAGAGAAAAAAAAAAACCCAUAAUCAAACAACAAUAGUCCACACCAGUUAAGGUUUGUUAAAGAAGAAAUAGGAAAAGCACAAUGAGAACUAAGUUGAUACUAUCUGGUGGCAUUUAAGGAGAACAAGGACUUUCAGAGACAAAAGGGUUAGGUAGGGGAUUUGAGCAUCUUAUAUAUAAGACAGGAUGUGAGAUUAAUAGUGACUGAAAAAUGCAUGAAAACCCAAACUCAAUUCUGAGAUCAGUCUUUUGAAAAAGGCACUUCCUUUGGGGGCCCUGUGUUCCAUCCUAUAGAUGGAUGUGAGCAUCCACUUCUGUGUUUGCCAGGCACUGACAUAGCCUCACAAGAGAGAGCUAUAUCAGGGUCCUUUCAGCAAAAUCUUGCUGGAAUUUGCAAUCGUGUCUGGGUUUGGUGGUUGUUUAUGGGAUGGAUCCCCGGGUGGGGUAUUCUCUGGAUCGUCCAUCCUUUGGUCUUAGCUCUCUGUAACUCCUUCCAUGGCUGGUUUUUUUUUUUUGUUUUUUUUUGUUUUUUUUUGUUUUUUUUGUUCUCUAUUCUAAGGAGGAAUGAAGUAUCCACCCUUUGGUCUUCCUUCUUGAUUUUCUUGUGUUUUGCAAAUUGUAUCUUGGGUAUUCUAAGUUUCUGGGUUUCUUAUCAGUGAGUGCAUAUGCUCAAAGUCAGCUAUUGGAUGGAACACAGGGUCCCCAAUGGAGUACUCAAGGAGGGGGGGGGUAAUAGGGAACUUUCAGGAUAACAUUUGAAAUGUAAAUAAAGAAAGUAGC
rnacentral:lncRNA from 1 species